UUUCCCAUUGUAUUUGGCAUAAUUAGGGAGAAGAAGUAUGGCCAAAAUCAUAAUAUCCCUUUUUAUCUUUGUUAUCCUCUUCACCUCCGCCUUUCCUGUGAACGGAGGCAAGUGGACUUGAUGAUUCUAAAGUAAGCAGACGAUUCAAGGGAACGUGCAGGAAGGGGCCGGGGAUUGACAACAUCAGGUGUAUGGCUUUUUGCAUAUUGGAGGGCGCACCGAGAGGGGAAUGCAUCAAUAGGAAGUGUCGCUGCUUCUACCAGCCAUCUGAAGAGCCUAAAGAGCCUCAAAAGCCCGGCCAAGAGGCCGAGGAAUAUUCAAGGCUGGUAGCCAGAGAGAUAUACAAUGAGAUUUUAAGAGAAAAAAAAGAAUAAUAGCUAAAGUAGAUGUUGAACGUAUAUGCACACUGGGCUCAAACCUCAUUUUAAUAAAUGUAAGGUAUUGAAAUAUAUAAAAGAAAUAGAAUUUAAACUCAA